AUUGAACGCUGGCGGCAGGCUUAACACAUGCAAGUCGAACGAUGAUUAUCUAGCUUGCUAGAUAUGAUUAGUGGCGGACGGGUGAGUAACAUUUAGGAAUCUGCCUAGUAGUGGGGGAUAGCUCGGGGAAACUCGAAUUAAUACCGCAUACGACCUACGGGUGAAAGGGGGCGCAAGCUCUUGCUAUUAGAUGAGCCUAAAUCAGAUUAGCUAGUUGGUGGGGUAAAGGCCCACCAAGGCGACGAUCUGUAACUGGUCUGAGAGGAUGAUCAGUCACACCGGAACUGAGACACGGUCCGGACUCCUACGGGAGGCAGCAGUGGGGAAUAUUGGACAAUGGGGGCAACCCUGAUCCAGCCAUGCCGCGUGUGUGAAGAAGGCCUUUUGGUUGUAAAGCACUUUAAGCAGGGAGGAGAGGCUAAUGGUUAAUACCCAUUAGAUUAGACGUUACCUGCAGAAUAAGCACCGGCUAACUCUGUGCCAGCAGCCGCGGUAAUACAGAGGGUGCGAGCGUUAAUCGGAAUUACUGGGCGUAAAGCGAGUGUAGGUGGCUCAUUAAGUCACAUGUGAAAUCCCCGGGCUUAACCUGGGAACUGCAUGUGAUACUGGUGGUGCUAGAAUAUGUGAGAGGGAAGUAGAAUUCCAGGUGUAGCGGUGAAAUGCGUAGAGAUCUGGAGGAAUACCGAUGGCGAAGGCAGCUUCCUGGCAUAAUAUUGACACUGAGAUUCGAAAGCGUGGGUAGCAAACAGGAUUAGAUACCCUGGUAGUCCACGCCGUAAACGAUGUCUACUAGCCGUUGGGGUCCUUGAGACUUUAGUGGCGCAGUUAACGCGAUAAGUAGACCGCCUGGGGAGUACGGCCGCAAGGUUAAAACUCAAAUGAAUUGACGGGGGCCCGCACAAGCGGUGGAGCAUGUGGUUUAAUUUGAUGCAACGCGAAGAACCUUACCUGGUCUUGACAUAGUGAGAAUCCUGCAGAGAUGCGGGAGUGCCUUCGGGAAUUCACAUACAGGUGCUGCAUGGCUGUCGUCAGCUCGUGUCGUGAGAUGUUGGGUUAAGUCCCGCAACGAGCGCAACCCUUUUCCUUAUUUGCCAGCGGGUUAAGCCGGGAACUUUAAGGAUACUGCCAGUGACAAACUGGAGGAAGGCGGGGACGACGUCAAGUCAUCAUGGCCCUUACGACCAGGGCUACACACGUGCUACAAUGGUAGGUACAGAGGGUUGCUACACAGCGAUGUGAUGCUAAUCUCAAAAAGCCUAUCGUAGUCCGGAUUGGAGUCUGCAACUCGACUCCAUGAAGUCGGAAUCGCUAGUAAUCGCGGAUCAGAAUGCCGCGGUGAAUACGUUCCCGGGCCU
rnacentral:rRNA from 1 species